rnacentral:rRNA from 1 species
UGCAAGUCGAACGCGUCUCCGUUAAUGAUUUUAGGUGCUUGCACUUGAAAGAUUUAACAUUGAGACGAGUGGCGAACUGGUGAGUAACACGUGGGUAACCUGCCCUUGAAGUAGGGGAUAACACUUGGAAACAGGUGCUAAUACCGUAUAACAACCAAAACCACCUGGUUUUGGUUUAAAAGACGGCUUCGGCUGUCACUUUAGGAUGGACCCGCGGCGUAUUAGCUUGUUGGUAAGGUAACGGCCUACCAAGGCGAUGAUACGUAGCCGACCUGAGAGGGUAAUCGGCCACAUUGGGACUGAGACACGGCCCAAACUCCUACGGGAGGCAGCAGUAGGGAAUCUUCCACAAUGGACGAAAGUCUGAUGGAGCAACGCCGCGUGAGUGAUGAAGGGUUUCGGCUCGUAAAACUCUGUUGUUGGAGAAGAACAGGUGUCAGAGUAACUGUUGACAUCUUGACGGUAUCCAACCAGAAAGCCACGGCUAACUACGUGCCAGCAGCCGCGGUAAUACGUAGGUGGCAAGCGUUGUCCGGAUUUAUUGGGCGUAAAGCGAGCGCAGGCGGUUUUUUAGGUCUGAUGUGAAAGCCUUCGGCUUAACCGGAGAAGUGCAUCGGAAACCGGGAGACUUGAGUGCAGAAGAGGACAGUGGAACUCCAUGUGUAGCGGUGAAAUGCGUAGAUAUAUGGAAGAACACCAGUGGCGAAGGCGGCUGUCUGGUCUGUAACUGACGCUGAG